AUGUCCAGUUACCCAUGGAUGGGCCGCUGGACCUGGGCGCCCAAGCAGCUGCAGCGGGGAACGGGUCAGGUGUGUCAGGAGGGGUUUGUGUGUGCGGCUGUGUCACUGUGUGUUAUGUUCGGAAGAGGCACUAGGCUGACCGCCAUUGGUCACCCCAAGGCUUCCCCCUCGGUCACUCUGUUCCCGCCCUCCUCUGAGGAGCUCCAAGCCAACAAGGCCACACUAGUGUGUCUGAUCAGUGACUUCUACCCGGGAGCCGUGAAAGUGGCCUGGAAGGCAGAUGGCAGCCCCGUCAACACGCCCUCCAAACAGAGUAACAACAAGUACGCGGCCAGCAGCUACCUGAGCCUGACAGCGGACCAGUGGAAGUCCCACAACAGCUACAGCUGCCAGGUCACGCACGAAGGGAGCACCGUGGAGAAGACAGUGGCCUGUGCAGAAUGCUCUUAGGCCCCUGACCCUUACCCCAGCCACA